rnacentral:rRNA from 1 species
CGCGUAGGCGGUUUCGUAAGUCCCGUGUGAAAGCCCCCGGCUCAACCGGGGAACUGCACGGGAAACUGCGAGGCUUGAGUUCGGGAGAGGGAAGCGGAAUUCCGGGUGUAGCGGUGAAAUGCGUAGAUAUCCGGAGGAACACCAGUGGCGAAGGCGGCUUCCUGGACCGAUACUGACGCUGAGGCGCGAAAGCUAGGGGAGCAAACGG